UUAUUUUCUUCCAUACUCUAUAGUAUGUGUAUGACCCCAACUUUUAUGAAUAAAGAUGAAUUUUCUAAAAAUAUCAUUUUUGAAUAUUAUGGAGUGAAUUUGAUAUAAUGUUAUAGUUGUGGGUAAUAUUUAUAAAUUUUGCAAAAUACGCAAGUUGUUAUAUAAUAUUCGAUUGGUUGGGAAAUAUUCGUUUUAACAUAGAAUAUUCUUACGACGGCACAAUCAUUGGUGGAUCCCACAACGAAAUUAUUGUUAGAUUGAGAAAACGACAAAAAUAUCUUUUAAUAAAAAUAACGGCGAAAGUUUUACCGUUAACUAUUGAAACACUCGGUGUUAAAAGUACAGUAAUACGCGUGGUUGCAUAGUAGCACACUGUAUUGAUUAUUGAUGCUUACGUGAGAAGUCACUCAAUUUUGUUCAAUUAUUGCUACAGUAAUUGUUGCAUAAUAUCUCACGUUAUUUGAUUCAAUUAUUGUCGAUAUUUUAUAUAUUAUUAAAUCAAUA
rnacentral:lncRNA from 1 species